AGAUCCUAACGACUGCAACGACACACCAAAGUCCGUCACAGAAACCGCCACUUCGACGACAACAAAGAAUGUCACACAGACAGUGACACAGAUAUCCACAACUACUUCGGCGACAACGAACACUAAAACAGUGACCUCUACGAUAACCUCUACUUCUGCAACUGCCACUGUGACUGUUACUCUUGCAAAUGGUUAUGUAACAGUCACUAAACCGUGUGUUUUGGACCCUCGAUACGACACCAUCGAGAACCUGAGGACGAGUCUGAAGGAGGAAUCGAAGGGAUGGAAGUGGUCAGAAUAGAGCCUUGAGGAACGCCUCGGGUCUCGCUGUAAGGAAGGUGGACGCGCCGAGAUAAUUUUAU